GUUGCAUCCGUAUGUAUCCCUUCUCUCCCCAAUCUGCUCCCCACGAGUUCUUCACUAUCCAGUACUUGGUUCCGUCGUCGCUCGUAUCAUAACCAACCACCGCUACUCCAUGAUUCAACUCCGUUCCACAUUUUCCGGUAAAAACUCCCUGUUAAAUCGUAUCAUUAACUGCUCAUAUUUAGGUUUUUUGAUCGUAAACAAAUUCGUUUUCGUAAAAAUUCAAAUAAACAACACCAUAAACGAGCGAUUUAGGAUAACUUAAGGGUGUUCAGUUGGUGAUUUGGACUCGAAAAAUCAAACAUAUUUGGUUUCCACUUUGAUUUUUGUGAUGUAGGUUUCCAAACCAAAUUAGAUGUAAUCUGUCUAUGUGAGUUUUGAGAUACCUCUGAAUAGAGCUGGAAAUCAGAACUUCCAGCAUCAAUGGCAACAGAUACAGGCUGGUUAGCAACUGCUUUCAUUAGAGAAUCC
rnacentral:lncRNA from 1 species